rnacentral:rRNA from 1 species
UACAGAGGGUGCAAGCGUUGUUCGGAAUUAUUGGGCGUAAAGCGCGUGUAGGCGGCUUUGCAAGUCGGGUGUGAAAUCCCUCGGCUCAACCGAGGAAGUGCGCCCGAAACUGCAGAGCUUGAGUACCGGAGAGGAUGGCGGAAUUCCCCAAGUAGAGGUGAAAUUCGUAGAUAUGGGGAGGAACACCGGUGGCGAAGGCGGCCAUCUGGACGGAUACUGACGCUGAGACGCGAAAGCGUGGGGAGCAAACCGG